CGGAGGGUGCAAGCGUUAUCCGGAUUCACUGGGUUUAAAGGGUGCGUAGGUGGGUCUGUAAGUCAGUGGUGAAAUCUCCGAGCUUAACUCGGAAACUGCCAUUGAUACUAUAGGUCUUGAAUUAUCUGGAGGUAAGCGGAAUAUGUCGUGUAGCGGUGAAAUGCUUAGAUAUGACAUAGAACACCAAUUGCGAAGGCAGCUUACUACGGAUACAUUGACACUGAGGCACGAAAGCGUGGGGAUCAAACAGGAUUAGAUACCCUGGUAGUCCACGCCCUAAACGAUGGAUACUCGACAUCAGCGAUACACUGUCGGUGUCUGAGCGAAAGCAUUAGUAUCCCACCUGGAAGUACGACCGCAAGGUUG
rnacentral:rRNA from 1 species